rnacentral:rRNA from 1 species
AUUGAACGCUGGCGGCAGGCCUAACACAUGCAAGUCGAGCGAGCGGCGGACGGGUGAGUAAUGUCUGGGAAACUGCCUGAUGGAGGGGGAUAACUACUGGAAACGGUAGCUAAUACCGCAUACCAUCAGAUGUGCCCAGAUGGGAUUAGCUAGUUGGUGGGGGAACGGCUCACAUAGGCGACGAUCCCUAGCUGGUCUGAGGGGAUGACCUGGCACACUGGAAAUGAUACACGGUCCAGACUCCUACGGGAGGCAGCAGUGGGGAAUAUUGCAGAAAGGGCGGAAGCCUGAUAGAGCCAUGCCGCGUGUGUGAAGAAGGCCUUCGGGUUGUAAAGCACUUGCAGCGGGGAGGCGUUACCCGCAGAAGAAGCACCGGCUAACUCCGUGCCAGCAGCCGCGGUAAUAC